UUGUACCUUCUCUCCAAAAGCAGGUUGUAAUAUCCGUUUGUAUCUCUUUCUUCCCCCCAGGUACCGAAUAUAAUGCAUUGCGUGCACAGUAGGCAUUCAGUAAAGGAUGGUGAUUGGCAAGGAAAAUAGCCGUGUAGUUUUCUAAAAUUUACAAGAGGGGAAAAGACAGUUUUAAAAAACAUCCUGAAAAAAUAUUGUCUCCAAUAUUGCAAUAAAUUACUUCAAUGGCAAAAGAAACAUUCUGAGAACACCGUGGUCUUCAAAAGUUGAUACGGUAUCAGAAUUGUACCAGAAUUGGUAAAGCUUUGCUUAAAAUAUCCCUCUAUGUAAAAGUUCUUCCACCUUUUCUCGCAUUUAUUUCCUUCUUUUUUAAGAGGUAUGUGGGGGCGCCUGGGUGGCUCAGUCAGUUAAGGGUCCAACUGCAGUUCAGGUCAUGAUCUUGCAGUGAGUUCGAGCCCCACAUCAGGUUCUGUACUGACAGCUCAGAAUCUGCAACCUGCUUCAGAUUCUGUGUCUCCCUCUCUCUCUGCCCCUCCCCGGCUCACACUCUGUCUCUGCCUCUCUUUCUCAAAAAUAAACAUUUAAACACAUUAAAAAACAGAGGCAUGUGAGACCAAAUCUCUCUAGUUAAGCACUUUUCUAACCACCAGGUGGAAGCAUAGCUCCAGGAGCUCUCUGAAGGCCUCCAUUAACGGAAGGUAGACCCUUAACAGAGUGGACAGAGCCCUCCCGGAACAGAUUGCUGGGCUGGAGAGCAGAGACGUGAGUUGUGAGUGAGUUCUGCUCUCGGUUGUUAAAACACAAACUUCCCAUCUUGGUCCUAAAGUCCUUCACUAUUCAUCCUUCAGAACUCCCGUGUCCUUGGUCAAUGAGGGAAAACCAUUUUUAAAUUAACUUUGACUUAACCAGGUGUUAUUUCAACAUAAACUCUGUAAAUGUUUAAUGAAUACGUAAGAAGGUGUAACAACUGCCUUUGUAAACUGGUGUUUCUAAAAUUUGAGGUUCUGUUUAAAUCAUUUACUUUUCUUAUAAAAAAAUAGAAAACUUCUAAAUAAACAGAAAAUUUUAGGUGUGCCUGGGUGGCUCAGUUUGUUAAGCAUCUGACUUGGGCUUAGGUCAUGAUCGCACAGUUCAUGAGUUCAAGCCCCAUGUCAGGCUUUGUGCUGACAGCGUGGAGCCUGGAGCCCACUUCCGGAGUUCUGUAUCUUCCCUUCUCUCCCUGCCCCUCCCCCACUCACUUAUAAACAUUAAAAAUUUUUUCUUUUAAUAGAAAAUUUCAAAAAAAGGUGGGGGGGGGGUGGUGCUGCUGGAUGGCUCAGUCAGUUAAAUGUCUGACUACAGCUCGGGUCAUGAUCUCAUGGUUCGUGAGUUGGAGCCCCACGUCAGGGUCCGGGCCGUGGAGCCUGCCUUGGAUUCUGUGUCUCCCUCGCUCUGCCCCUUCCCUGCAUUCUCUCUCUCUCUCCCUCUCUCAGAAAAUGAAUAAAACAUUAAAAAAAUUUAGAAAAAUAAAUAGAAAAUUUCAAAAAUGAAGUAGGAAGAAAAGCACAUAAUUCUGCCAUCCAAAAAAUGGACUGAUCACUUUUUUCUUUUUCCCCUAUGUCUAAUAUUUUAAAAAUUAGCUCAUUUUAAAAUUGUACCUUGCUUUUGGGGGGUAGUGGGAAGUAAUGGACCCUCUAAGGAGCUGCAAAUUCUGAAAUCUAGUGAAAAUAUUCCAGGGAACUUCUGCCAAAGGGUUCCUAUUAUAAUGAAUUCUCUUUAGAAAAUAGAAAAACUGUUCCCAAUUUUUCUAAUUUGAGAUACUUGUCACUUUUUUGAAAUUGGUACCACUAAACUAGCCAUUUCCUACUCACCUAUGUCUCUAAACUAUUGUUUACAUGUUUCAGAGGGCAAACUUGGGUCCAGCCUCUCUGUCCUUGGCUAGAAAUUUGACAUCAGGGGUUACAGUGAUUAGGGUUAGGGACUAAUUUUCCAGUUCCUAUAGGGGGCAAAUCUUUGUUUAUAACUACGCUCUGUGCUUCAAAAGCACUUUGAAUUCAAAAUUUAUUACUCUGGACAAAAGACUUCCCCCUACAUCAGCAUUUCCCAAAAUGUGUUUGGUGAUCAAGGAAUUUAAGUUCAGAAGGAUGGUACUAGGCUAAAUUAUUUCAAGAAAUGGUUCCCUGGCUAUGUUUGGAAAAUCCAUUUCUUUCCUGCAUUAUUUCUCAUUAAUGUGCAUUCUUAAUUUUGCAGGUUUUUUUUUUUUUAAUCACAAGGCACAUUUUUCAUCUAUCAUCUUCCCCAUGGUAAAAAGUAAUUUGGAAUAUGUAUAAUAGGAUGGGUAUACAUCAUAUCAUAUAUAUAAACCAUCCUGGGGUGACUGGGUUUUGAAGAGUUGCAAUAUUCUUGCUUCAUAAAAAGGUCAUUAAAUUUGGUCUUUCCCAGGCUUUGUCUGGUGGUAAUCAGUUCUGUCCAGUAUGUGGACUUUGUUACACUUGCAGAUUUGUUUUUAAGGUAACGUAAUGAAAAGAAACAGUAUUUUUUGCUUACAUGAAUAUUCUUUAUUGAGUCAGAAAUACUCAAAUUUACUGAACUCAGAGGUAGUCUUGGCUCUACCCAAUAAACUUUAUUGUGCUAGACAAUUUGUGCAAGUCUUUAAUUACAGUGCAGAAGGUCACUGAGAAAACAUAAAAUUAGCUGUGAAACAUCUGAUAAAAGCUACGGAGUAGUUCAUAUGCUAAAGUAGGAUAAAAUGUUUUGUGAGCAAUAGAGUAUCUGCUUAUUAGUGAUAUAAUGUAAAGUCUCUAAUGAAGUUUAACUCUUUCCCUAAACUUCUUAGUUAUUGUGAGGGUAUGUGUGUUUUGUUUGUUUUGGCUCUUUUAGGUGGGAGGUGGGCAGAAAAUGAUUUUUAAAAGUCAUGAGGAAGAUAUAAAGGAUUGGUCAUAAAAUAGAUAACUAUAUUGUCCCUGCAGAAUAAAAACCAAACUUCUCAAUUAGCAGCUAGCCCUGUUGCAAUGAGACAAUAUACUGUGCUCAUUUUUUCUGGAUUCCCCAGGAAAAUAUAUUUCCAGCCCGGUAUCAGUUAUUUUUACUCUCUAAAGGUAGAGGUAACUUCUUACAACAUUUUAAAAAACAUUACAAAUAAAAUUCUAUUCUGGAGCAAAACACAACAUUGAUUUCUUAGACUUUCAGAAAUGCUGAGAGGAGGCUUUUAACAUUUCUGAUACAUCCAACAGCUCAAGGCUAAAUGUGAUAAUUAAGCCCCAGAAUCAACCUUGACACUUAUCUGCAGGGACUUACCAUUUCUCUAAAAUAUUCCCCUCCAUUUAGAUUCAUUCAUGUUUUUAUCAUAAUUUAAGUAGAUACAUGAAAGAAACCUUUGUUACCUUCAUGAGAUUCCUUAAAUAUUAUUAAAUGCUCAUUCUAGCUAACCAGUGAUUGUUUUCAGGUCCAUUCUGUUUAUACCUGGGGGAAGGGACCUGGUCUUUAAUAAGGUAUAUUAUACUGCUUUCAAAAUAUUUAUGCCACCUACUGUUAAUUAUCCUUUCUCUGCCUGGGCAAGUAACAAAAAAAUGCAUCAAAAUAUGGCAUUUUCAUACCACUGCUUUUGAUAGUCACAGACUCAAGCAGGAGCCUUCAUUUUACAGGUAAGGAAACUGUGGGGUGGGUUUGAAUUCAGAUUCUUGCUUUCUAAUUAAAAUUUCACUCCCAUAUUCUUUCUUUUCUCUCUCUCAAAAAUCUUCACCAUGUUGAUUUCUCCAUAAAAAGAAUUAUACCCGAACUCAGAACCUGGGGAUUAUAAUCACCAGUCUAAGAGGGUAAAGAGACAGUACGGAAGGUGUCAUACAGGGAGAUUUGGGGCUCUGGUCUUAGUUGGAAUGUCAUGGCUGUUUCUCCUCUUGGACAUUUAACUUGGUUAGUGGAGAGUGUAGCUGGGAUUGAGUCAUACUAAACUCUCACUACAAAGUUUACUUUUGAGCACAGCCAUUGCUGCAAAAUAUAUACCCCAAAUGUAUUCUGUGUUGAAGGUUUGGUUUAGGUUAAGAGAGUAUUUUACUUGUUUUACUUGUCUUUAAAUGAUCUUAAGUUUGAUUCUGAUGAAAUUUCUGAUUUUAAAAACAUUAUUUCCUUAAGAAAUUUACACUAAGGCUCAUGAACCACAUCACAUUUUGGUUUAUGUCCCUUUGAAAAUUGGUAUCUUGGAAAAGCUAUGACUCCAAAGGUCUGCUUGAAAAAUAAGGCUUGAUGGUAAAUCGAAUUUUAUGUGCUUUGUAGAAAUCCAAAAUCAUUUUCUGCAAUACAUACUUUCAAGUAUAUAAUAAAUUACUGUUUAUUUAAAUAAAAAUGACCCAGAUAUUCAAGUUAUUACCAGAUUUUAUAAGUGAUAAAAAGACUACAAAUUCUGUUUAGAUUAACAAGUAUGAUUGUGUACAUGUGAAUAAGCUUGGCACAAGAAUAGCUCCUAUGUGCCCAUGUGUCUCCCAUUCACUUGUGGUUCUCAUGCAUUCACCAUAUACCAAACCCAACCAGUGUAGUUUCAUUUUCAGAUCCUAUAGAACUUCCAAUUGAAAGACGAAGGCAACUCACAGUCCAUGAGCAAUACACAGCACUUAGAAACCUGCUCACGGAGUUGCUAUUUUGUGAUGUCCCCCCCAACCCUUAAUUCUUAUAUAUAAUAUUUUAAGAUGGGUUAACUCUCAUGAUAGUAGACAACAGUUGCUUCAGAAUGAGUACUAAUGGUAAAAAUUUUGUUUUCUAAUUUAAAAAAGGUAGCUUGUGUUAACAGGUAACAUGUUUACUAUGAACCUUAGGAUAAAUGUGAAGCGUAGUAAAAACACCAUACUUGAAUUUAUUUGUUGACAUGUAUUUGAAAACACUCUUCUGUCAGUGUUACUACUGAGCUGGAGAUUGCCAAAGCAUUGGACCUCAUUUGACAAAAUGACUCAAAGCCCAACAGUUUCUGAGAGAGACUGGGAGUAGCAGGUUUGUGGAACUCUUCACUCAUUCAUUCAGUUUCUGCUAUGUACUGGGCUCUGAGGAUAUAAAAAUGAAUUUUCCCAAACAAAUUAAAUACACUCUGGCCUCAGAGCUCACAUUCUAUUAGGGAAAAUCAUACAUGAAAGUACAAGAUCAUAAUACAGUUGUAAAUUCAAUAAUAGAGGUAACACAUUAGAGAAGCAAAGAGGAAAGGUCUCCAGAUUGACUGGGAAGGGGUUGCUGGGGUGGAAUGGAAUAGAAUGAUGGUCAGCAGAGGCUUCCUAGAGGAGUUGAUACCUGAACUGAAUUUUAAAGGAGUGGGAAAGAAAAUGUCGUGGUGGGUCAGAAUGGUAUUCCAGAUAUAGUACACAAACAGCACAUUAAGUGUAUAGGAACUACAAGCAGUUGACUGAUGGUUUUUGUUUUGAGUAGAUCCUCUUCCUCAGUGCCAUGUAGAAGAUGGACUUAAAGAGGAGAAGGCUGGGCACAAGAGACUAGCAAAACUGUCACCGUGGUGCCAGUGAGCUAUGGUGGCCUAAACUUGACAACGUUACGAGCCAUGGAGAGAGGGAAGAUCAAUCAACAUUUGUAAUUAACAUCAAUCUUUAGUGACUGACUGAAUAUAUGGGAUGAAGGAGGAGAAGAAACUGUCAAGGAUAACACUCAGGUUUCUAGUUUGGUGGUACCAGUCACUGAGACAAAUACAGGAGGAAGAGCAGCUCUAGAGAGAAAAAUGUGUGUGAUUUCUACAUGAAUUUGAGGUACCUGUGGGUCAUAUCCAGGUAGAUAUGUACAGUGGGAAGUUGGACUGGAGUUUGAAGCUCUGGCAAGAGGCUGGACUUACACAUUUGGGGGUCAUCAGCGUAACUGAUGUGGCAUCUGAGCGCAGGAAGGCAGGGACACUUAACUGACCUGUUAUUUUGGGGCUCCGUAGACACAACCUUGUCAUCCCAUCAGGCCCAUGUUUUUGUGGGCCACUGAGACAUUGUUGCCUAUUUUCUCUCCUCAGAACAUCUGAGAAAUGAAAUAUUUCCAGUGCUAUCAUUUCUCCACAUGCUGAGAAUUAAUUAUAUUUGGCACUAGUAAUUACUAUAUAUCUUCACAUCUAGCAUUCACCACAGGGUUUUGUAUAUAGAACUUCUUUCUUGAUUCUCAAGUUUUUCUUACAAAUUUCUAAGACAACUUCAAGAUUGAGCAUAAGUGGAUAGUACUUGAAAGGGAAGGACCAUGGAGUUUAUUCAGUCAAGGUCCCACAGAGGGAGUUGAGAGUUGCAGUAACCUGGCAUGAGUAAUCCCUGAUUCCAGGUGAUGAUGGGGAGUGUGUUCCA